ensembl:lncRNA TRHDE-AS1 TRHDE antisense RNA 1
GCACAGCGAGCAUUGUGACCGCGAGCAAUGCCACGAGGGACACAGCGAAGGCCAGCACAAGCCGCUUGUGUACGGCGAUGUGGCGCUCCGUGGUGCGGGGUCGCACUCCCACUGAGUCUGCCCACGGGUCGGAGAGCCCCCUGCUGCCAGCCCGAAGCGCGGCGUCGUCUUCCCCCAUCGCGGCUGCGAAGGCGGCGGCGUUCGGUCCUCUGGGUGGAAUGUGCUCGCAGCAGCAGUGACGGCGGCCACAGCACGGGAGGCACCCGAGCCAUACACCCUGCAGCUGGAGAGAAAAGGAUGGCCGAGGUGGGAGAGACUAGAGUGAACCAGCAGGAGGAAGUCCCAGGGCCGCGAAGCUACGACGGAGAUCCGUCCUGGAAAAGCCUUCUCCACCCUGGGCACUUUAAGCGGCGGUGGCGGCAAACGGCAGGAGGUUGCAGACCCGACAGCGAGACUCCCUCAUUCCAGUCUUGCUCUGCCCUCCGGAGAUGACAAGUGAGAAAGAAGUGUCCGGCCGGGCCAUCCCCUUCAGAGAAGCAACCACUUCACAAGAAGAUUCUGAAGUUGGCCAUUUUUGAUCCCAGAACAGUUUCUCAUAGAUUAGAAAUAUUGGAGUCUACACAAAAAUCGAUAUUCAUUUACAAGAUCAUCACUAAACUUAUCUUGCAUAACGUCUCUGCCAGCCACAUUAACUGCCUGCAGAAAAGUUUGUUAUGACUGCCUGGUUUUGUAAAGUCCAGACAACUUUACACUAAGCUGAAUAAUGUUCAUUUACUCAAAAGCUAGUCUAAAAUUGUAGAGUUAAUGAACACUAAACCAAAGUUAGUGCUUUAACUGAAAGAUAAUUUACUGUACCCUUUGGAGUCCAGUCCGGUACCAUCAAGAUCUGGGAAAAUACAACUGUUACCAAGAAUAACUGUAAAAUGUGCUGGGAAUGCAAUGUCCUGAGAUAAGGAAGAACUGCCUGAAACAGCCUGGAUCUUAUUCCUGUACUUCCUAGGGAAUGUAACAUCUCAAGUUAAAGAGGAACUGCCCGGAACAGCCCGGGGAUUGUUCCUCUCUCCUGAGAAGGAAGAUUACCUCCAAAGCUCAUCCACUGAGUCACACUGCCCCUGUGGUGGAGGGCGGGCUGCCUUUCCAGGUUCCUCAGCUGUGGUGUAACUGAAGCAGGCACAAUCAAGACUCCAUCUGCUCGAGGCAGCUUUCUCGAACCUUGGGGAACCUACUCACAAUGGAUCACAGGCUUCUUUUGUUUUGUUUCUUGCUGCCUAUCUUGGGAAGCAAAAAUCAGCUGAGUGAAGAUGAGGAAGAAGGUGUUAAAGGUUUGAAGAAAAAAGGAAAAGGAUAUACUAAUCUAAGAGGACAAGUAAGUAGAACAUAGAUAAUGAAAAUGCUGGCCCUUAGGACUGUUGGGCCUAAAUGCUCAUAUUAUAUUGGUAGUCACAAAUUUGAACUUUCUCUAGAGCCAAUUUUUGCAUGUGUGUGCAGGCCUGGAGUAGUUGGAGAGUUGGAUUUAAUAGAAUUGAGGGUCAAGCAACUACAACCAGGGAAGAGUGGGACAAGGGAGAUAAAGGAUAUUGGCAGGGGAGCAAUUAUAAACAUGGACCAUGAUCAAAACUGGACAGGAAGGAAAAUAGAGAUAAGAGGGGUGGAAGGUUAAAAAUAGUGAAAAUGAGAUAGAAUGAAUAGGUUGUAGGUCCCUGUAAAGUUGAAGAAGUAUUAUUAUGCAGUACUCGUUAUUGAAAUGAGGUCACUAUGCUUAAGGCACAGUGAAUCCUAGAAAAUAGUGGUUUUGUUUCUCAUUAGGCAAUACAUUCCUCCUUGCUCCAGAAUGCAACAUACAUGUAUCCUUUUCUGUACUAUUUUUUAUUAAGAAUUCAUACUUAAUUCCACUGACUGCCACUCAAUUUUAAUGUACAGUAGGGAAUUCCUGUACUAUGUAUUAUGAAUCCAUUCCUUUGAAUUUCAUUUAUAAUACUUCAUGACUGACACCUGGCUUUCCACCAAGACUCAAUUUUCAUAGCAAGCCUCAUCAUCAUAAGCCCCCAAAUUAACAGGAUGAGGAGGAAGAAUUGGCAGGCUAAAGAAGAUGAUUAUAUCAAUUAAUGCAGAAAAAGCAUUUGAUAAAAUCCAAUAUUCAUUUGUAAUUAAAAACUCUCAGCAAGUUAGGGAUAGGAAUUACUUCAACUUAAUGAAGAGUGUCUUUAAAAACCUUAUUUUCAUCAGUUAUAACAAAUGUACCACUCUGGUGGUGAAUGUUGCUAAGGAGGGAAGCUAUACAUGUGUGGGGAAAGGAGAUGUGUGAGCAAUUUCUGUACCUUCUACUCAAUCUUCUGUGAGACUAAAAUUGCUGUAAAA